rnacentral:rRNA from 1 species
AGCGAACGCUGGCGGCAGGCCUAACACAUGCAAGUCGAACGCACCUUCGGGUGAGUGGCGGACGGGUGAGUAACACGUGGGAACGUACCUUUUGGUUCGGAAUAACGCAGGGAAACUUGUGCUAAUACCGAAUGUGCCCUUCGGGGAAAGAUUUAUCGCCAUUAGAGCGGCCCGCGUUAGAUUAGCUAGUUGGUGGAAGG